GGCUUUGUGGUUGAGUGGUAAGAACACUUGCCUCUCACCCUUGAGUCCUGGGUUCGAUCCCUAGUCGAACAACUAGGACU